AACGAACGCUGGCGGCAGGCUUAACACAUGCAAGUCGAGCGCCGUAGCAAUACGGAGCGGCGCACGGGUGAGUAACGCGUGGGAACCUGCCCAGAGGUUCGGGACAACCGCGGGAAACUGCGGCUGAUACCGGAUGAUACCUGAGGGUCAAAGAUUUAUCGCCUUUGGAGGGGCCCGCGUCAGAUUAGGUAGUUGGUGGGGUAACGGCUCACCAAGCCUGUGAUCUGUAGCUGGUCUGAGAGGAUGACCAGCCACACUGGGACUGAGACACGGCCCAGACUCCUACGGGAGACAGCAGUGGGGAGUAUUGGACAAUGGGGGCAACCCUGAUCCAGCAAUGCCGCGUGGGUGAUGAAGGCCUUCGGGUUGUAAAGCCCUUUCGGCGGGGACGAUGAUGACGGUACCCGCAGAAGAAGCCCCGGCUAACUUCGUGCCAGCCGCCGCAGUAAAAC
rnacentral:rRNA from 1 species